ACGAAGUUCGGCCCCUGCUUUCUUUCCUCCUCCAUCAUAUUAUUGUUGAUGACUUUGUCUUGAUUUGCUAUGCUUUGAUUGACAUGGAUAUUCAGCAAAUAAUAUUAGAAGCAGAGCAUCGAUGGCUACGUCCGGUUGAAAUUUGUGAAAUUUUCAGCAAUCGUAACAAGUUUCUACUUGCUCCAGAACCUGCAUAUAUGCCACCAAGUGGUUCACUUUUCCUGUUUGAUCGGAUGGUGGUGAGAUUCUUCAGAAAGGAUGGCCAUAACUGGAGGAAGAAAAAAGAUGCAAGAACAGUCAGAGAAGUUCACGAGACACUAAAGGUAAAUACACUGCAUCUAAACUCAAAGUCUUGAGCAUGUUACAAUCCAUCUACUUAUUGGAAAACAUUACUUAUAUGAUGCUUUUAAGAUUGAAUUUCAUUUCAAUCCACUUGAUAUUAAAUGAAACGGUAAAUUUAUUGAUAAUCGUUGAGAUAAGUUUUAUUUAAAAAAAAAAAAAAAAAAAAUU